CUAGGUCAGUUAGGAAUCAGGGAGAAGAACAUUUCUUCCGUGUUAACUGUUGCCAACAUCAUCAAUACCUUUGGUAGGCACAGCCAGAGUGAAGCUAUACCGUGGGAAGUGCAGUUAGCAGCGGCGUACUGCAUCUUCGACUUGUCACCAAGCAACCCCAAAGAAGCCCUGGAUGCACUUGCAGGAUGGCGAGGAGAAGCAUCACAAAGUGUUCCCUCUGCCGUCACAAGCUGCAUUUUCCAGCUGGCCUCGAUCUGCAGACAGGUCAAUAAAUGAGUGAUGCAUACUUCACAAAGACUUCUGGUUGUUUACACAAAAGGCUACGUAUUUUAUUAUUUUUUUAAUAAUAGAGUGCAGUCAUCUUGCACACCUCCAGGACACGCUUUACAAUUUUCAGUCUUUCAUGAACGCAUACUGUAAUGUUGCAGCAGGCCACAUCAGAUACCAACGGACUAUUCAAUGCUAUUUUUGAAGGAGCAUGAAAAGAGAGCUAACUUUGGGUGAUGUUGUGACCUGAACCACACUGUGCAAAGUUACUAACAUCAAGUUGUUUUGAUUAGUUUUACUGUGACACCCUUCUCCAAUCAUCUGCACGUUGUAUAAAUUUGAUUUUAUUUUUUUACUGUGCUUUUCUUUUGAUACAGGAAUGAGGAAAAUUAAGUGAAACAAACAUUGUAUUCUGUAUUAUUUCUGAUUUAAUAUUUUAAUUAUUCACACCCUGUGUAACAGACACACAUUCGUGAAGUUGUGCUAAGGUAAAACUUUAGAUAUUGGUUAUAAUGUUGAUGUGUGUUUACAUCUGACUGCAGUGCGCUUGGAAACGUAUCAUGUAAAUAUGUCGUCUGUGGAAAGCUCACCAAUAGUAAAUAUCUGUACAGUUUCAGAGAUUAUUUAUUUUUGCUAUUAAAGUUAUACAUAUGUAUUGCAA